UUUUGUUUUUAGUGAUUCUUUAUUGGUGGUUUUGUUGACGCAUUUGAUUUUGGUUCAAAAUUUUUCUUUUGUUUCUACAUUCUGGUUGCUUUUGAUUUUUUUUUAUUUAUGGAAAGAGAGUUGGCAGAUCUAUCGUUGGAUGAUGAGGAAGACAAAAUAUUGCAGGCACAGACGAAUCUUGAUUCUGUACCUGUGGAAAUUUAUCUUUUUAUAGUUGGGUGUUUUCUAACAGCAA
rnacentral:lncRNA from 1 species